rnacentral:rRNA from 1 species
GAUGAACGCUGGCGGCGUGCCUAAUACAUGCAAGUCGAGCGAACAGACGAGGAGCUUGCUCCUCUGACGUUAGCGGCGGACGGGUGAGUAACACGUGGAUAACCUACCUAUAAGACUGGGAUAACUUCGGGAAACCGGAGCUAAUACCGGAUAAUAUAUUGAACCGCAUGGUUCAAUAGUGAAAGACGGUUUUGCUGUCACUUAUAGAUGGAUCCGCGCCGCAUUAGCUAGUUGGUAAGGUAACGGCUUACCAAGGCAACGAUGCGUAGCCGACCUGAGAGGGCGAUCGGCCACACUGGAACUGAGACACGGUCCAGACUCCUACGGGAGGCAGCAGUAGGGAAUCUUCCGCAAUGGGCGAAAGCCUGACGGAGCAACGCCGCGUGAGUGAUGAAGGUCUUUGGAUCGUAAAACUCUGUUAUUAGGGAAGAACAAAUGUGUAAGUAACUAUGCACGUCUUGACGGUACCUAAUCAGAAAGCCACGGCUAACUACGUG